UUUUUUUCUUUUUAAGUUCUUGUCUAAUAUGCCAUCUUUGGGUUGUGAAUAGUCAUUUUUCUUUGUGUUUUAUGUGUUUUUUGUGUGCUUUUUAGCUUGAAAAGUUAUUGGAAUUGUUUUGCUAUGUUGAUCAUUUCAAUUUGUGUGUGUGUAUGUGUGUUUUUAUUUUAUUUUUCCUUGCAGAGGAGGGACAGACAACAUUGGCAGAGAUGGAUAAACAAUGAACAGCUAAACAGUCCACUGAAUACAAUCUUCAAUUUCAGUUGCUCAACAUUUGAAACAUAAACAGUCCGCUGAAGACAUCUUCAAUUCCAGCUUUCAUGAGCAGAAAUUGAAGAUUGUAUUUGGCGGACUGUUUAUGUUUCAAACAUUGACCAACAUGUGACUCAUUUGCUAUGAGAAGUUGGUUUGGUUAUAGUGCUUGUUUUUUUAUUUUCUGAUCAACUGUUUUCUUGUUUGUGAAAUGUUUUCACAUUUAUCUGAUUAUGUUUGAUAAAUAUUGAUUGGUUAACCGAGGAAGAACUUGCUGGGAUUAGUUGUUGUGGACAUGUAAGUUUCUCCAAUUGCAAAAGCUACUUGUUUUUCAAUGUUGAAAGUAGAACCACUAAAUCAUCUGUAAGAUGCUAGUUUGGAAUGUUGGUGUUCAUUUGAAUUUGUUUUGUUAAUGGUAUUUUAUUGUCAUGAGAUUGUGUUUGUUUCUUUUUUGAGAAUCAUAUGAAUUCAGAGAUUCUAUGUAGAUAAAAGUUGGGAGGCUGAUGAUGUUUUGAGACUAAUAAGAUUUAUUCAGUAUUAUGUUUGCUUUUCUUAGCUUGCAGGAUUCUCUUGAUUAUGUGUUCAUAUAGUUGUUUAUUUAGGUAACUGCUGUAAAUGGGUUGAGCUAAAUGGAGCUGAGGCUGUCUCAUAUACAUUUGUUUAGAAGUUCCUUUUGUGCUUUGCUUGCUUGCAUUUUACAUUUUAGCUGUGUUAAUAUAUGUUGAGGCCUAUCAAAUGAUUCAAAUGGAUUAAUACAAUUGCAUCAUGCAAAAUAUGACUUUUCUUCCUCUGUGCCUAUAAUUUGAUUCCUGCAACUGGGAGAAUUGUGGGAGCUUAGGAUCGAAUAAAAACUCAAUGUUUUGCUCCUCUAUGCAUGUUUCAUUCAUUGUGUGCUGGUUAUCAAUCUUCUCUACAGUUUCAUAUAGCUUUGUCAGUGAAUCCAAGAGAUGAUCAGUGUUAGGAAGGCAAGAAGCAUGUCUACAAAAUCUUUGUUCGACUUCAGCAGGCAAUUCUCUGUUGGCUGCAGUGUCUAUUGGAAGGUAAAGUGUUAGUGUAUUGGUUUUCACCAUGGUUGUAAGGGAGAAGGAUAAUGAGGUCAUUGAGACACAAGCAUGUUAUCAUGUAGAAGAUGUAUGCAAUUUCUUAUAAAUAUUCAUGCAGUGAAUAGAGUGUGCUUGCUGAAGCUGAAGAAGAUUUUGUUGGCAUACUGCUUGGCUUUUGACAGUACCUUUGGGAACUAUAAUGUGUCUCAUGGCCAAGCAAUCAUACCUUGGUUGCAUGGGCAAACUAUAUGAGAGUGUAGGGCAGUAUCUCAUGAAUGAAAUGUGCAAGAACAUGUUGCUCAAUACAGGGCAAAGAUCUACAGCUGAGUACAAGAAAAUUAAAUUGCAGGUUGAUAACAAUAAUACCAGAGAUGCAAGUGUCUGAGUUUCUACAAGGACAUCCCAUGUUGUAAUGAGUGGUGGAAUUAAUACAGUCCAAAUGAGGGUGUGUUUCUGAAGUGGGUACUAGAUUUUUUUAUUUCAGAUAAUUUAUUUAUAGCUCCUGUUUUGGAUUCAGUAACAUUGCUUGUCAAGCUUAGAGUCAAAAGAUGAAGCCAACAUAGAAGAGAGAGUGGUUCAUGUUGGCAGUCAGGACAUAAACAUAAUUUUUUUUUUUUUAAAUUAGAUGUGAGCAUGCAUGUUUUAUUAUAAUUAACUUGAGUUGAUUCUAUAUGCAUUGCAGUAUCCGUGGUGUUCUCGAAGAAGCCCUUAACUGAUUUAUUUAUGAAGAAGCAUGAGCUGUUUAAAUCUGAUGUGGGGAAACAGGAAACAAAUGGAAACAGUUCUCAUCUCAAGGCUGCAAACAAUUACUCAUCUGAAUAAUCAGCUUGUCAGAUCAAAUUGAAACUUGUGGUUUUGUUCGAAAGAAGCUACGCGGUGUACCGUUCUUGAGAGUUUUGGUUCAGUUGCAAAAACAAACUUUCAGAACUAGAGGAAGAAGUACUCAUUGCUUGUUUAUUUUAUAUAAAAUGUUAAAUACUUUGAUCUAAUUCGGUAGGCUCUUGUAAUACCGAAAGCUGAACUCGGUGUAAGCC